AUUGAACGCUGGCGGCAUGCCUUACACAUGCAAGUCGAACGGUAACGCGGGGCAACCUGGCGACGAGUGGCGAACGGGUGAGUAAAGUAUCGGAACGUGCCCAAUAGUGGGGGAUAGCCCGGCGAAAGCCGGAUUAAUACCGCAUGAGACCUGAGGGUGAAAGCGGGGGACUCGCAAGAGCCUCGCGCUGUUGGAGCGGCCGAUAUCAGAUUAGGUAGUUGGUGGGGUAAAGGCCUACCAAGCCGACGAUCUGUAGCUGGUCUGAGAGGACGACCAGCCACACUGGGACUGAGACACGGCCCAGACUCCUACGGGAGGCAGCAGUGGGGUAAUUUGGACAAUGGGCGCAAGCCUGAUCCAGCCAUCGCCGCGUGCGGGAAGAA
rnacentral:rRNA from 1 species